rnacentral:rRNA from 1 species
UAGGGAAUCUUCCACAAUGGACGCAAGUCUGAUGGAGCAACGCCGCGUGAGUGAAGAAGGUUUUCGGAUCGUAAAGCUCUGUUGUUGGUGAAGAAGGAUAGAGGCAGUAACUGGUCUUUAUUUGACGGUAAUCAACCAGAAAGUCACGGCUAACUACGUGCCAGCAGCCGCGGUAAUACGUAGGUGGCAAGCGUUGCCCGGAUUUAUUGGGCGUAAAGCGAGCGCAGGCGGAAUGAUAAGUCUGAUGUGAAAGCCCACGGCUCAACCGUGGAACUGCAUCGGAAACCGUCAUUCUUGAGUGCAGAAGAGGUGAGUGGAAUUCCAUGUGUAGCGGUGGAAUGCGUAGAUAUAUGGAAGAACACCAGUGGCGAAGGCGGCUCUCUGGUCUACAACUGACGCUGAGGCUCGAAAGCAUGGGUAGCGAACAGG